UGUAUAUAAGGGUAGAGAGAAGACCAGGGUUAGACAUGGCAAGAAAGCUUACAACGGUCAAACAUCUUUCUAUCUAGGAGUGCAAUUUAUACUUUGUGCUUAUACAGACAUCUAGAUCAGGCUUUAACUAUUGUGCUGCCAAGACGUUGUACUUGUAGAUCUCUGACUCAAACAAGAGGAAACACUUCAUGUUGAGUGUGAAAAUGUUCUAUGGCAAUGGUCAAGAUAUUGGAGUUUUCCCAUCUUCAAAGAAUACAGAUUUGUGUAUAGCCUCAGGCACCAAAGUGGCUUUGUUCAACAGACCACGCUCACAAACAGUUAGUAGGCCUACACGUUAUCUCCAUGUUGAGAAUGGAAACUAUCACGCCAGUUCCACUCAGUUGGGAGCUUUUAACAUCU
rnacentral:sRNA from 1 species